rnacentral:rRNA from 1 species
CGGACCGGCGCACGGGUGAGUAACGCGUAUGCAACCUACCUAUCAGAGGGGAAUAACCCGGCGAAAGUCGGACUAAUACCGCAUAAAACAGGGGUUCCACAUGGAAAUAUUUGUUAAAGAAUUAUCGCUGAUAGAUGGGCAUGCGUUCCAUUAGAUAGUUGGUGAGGUAACGGCUCACCAAGUCCACGAUGGAUAGGGGUUCUGAGAGGAAGGUCCCCCACACUGGUACUGAGACACGGACCAG